rnacentral:lncRNA from 1 species
UUCAACGGUGUUGCCCAAACAUCAAUUUAAAUAAUAAAAACAACUACAUUUAAUUUUUUUACAAGCAAAUACCAUUUAGCUUUACAAAACAAUUCUUCUCCAAAGCUUCAUAUAUUUCACAAAUUUAUGAUUGAAUCCUUGUCUCAUUUUCUUACACACAAAGUAAAUGCCAACUAAUGGCCAGCCAAGAAAAUUACACUUAUCCCUAGUACAGCCCACAAGAGACAGAAGUGGAGGCAUGCAUGCAAGCCUAAUCACGCAUGCAUGCCAGAUGUAAUGCCUCUCCAAACUAUAGCAGCUCUUUCACUGUGGACCAUUCUACCUCACACACACACAUACGCUGGAGUACCCCCACCACUUGCCUUUUCACCUUCUGCCACACUGCUGUCCUUCACUGCGGUGAAGCCCUUUGGGUUGCAUGCGCCACCAGGUACUAAUCAAGUACCUUGUUGUGUUAGCCCUUCUUGCUUGACUUCUUGUCUAUCUUCACCUCGAUUUGAAUCAGUCCAUGAGCAUCUUUUCACCUUGAUCUAUUUACUUUGCUGUAAAAAGAACAAAAUGUUUAUGUAAACACCCAAGAUAGUCAAAACUAAUUAGAUCAAUUUGCAAAAGCUUGUAAACAUCUCUGUGAAUGCACAUCUCUAUCUUGUACCAGAUCUGACAUGUUAAGAAUCAAAUCUUAGAAAUUAACCCAUUAAGAUGUGCAUUUGUAUCUAUGGGGUCAAACAAAAUGUGUAUGUUACUUGAUCGCUACCAUUUUAUGGUAACCAUGGGUUGGUAAAUGCUCUGUCAAUAAAUAAACCCCAAGAUGCUAGGUUACUUGCACAUGCCAUGUACUUGUAGGUAACCCAUAUUGGUGCUAAUCUUGUACAGAUAUAUAUAAUGCUAGAUAGAUUCAACAAUAUGGAAAAAAAUUCUAUGAGACAAGGUCUCACGGAUUAGCAGGUGAGACCCAUCCUGAUGAAUGACAUGUGUCAUUCACAAAUCACAAAGCAUUUACCCCACCCCAUCUGAAAGCAUAGGGGAGAUAUUAGAUGCUUUGUGAUUUGUGAAUGCCACGUGUCAUUCAUCAGGACGGGUCUCACCUGCUUUAUAUGAGACCUGGUCUCAUAUAAUAUUUUUCCAUAUUUUUUCCAUAUUAGAGCCCAACGCCUCACACACACGCGCGUACGUGUACGAGAGAAACACACAUCGCUUGGCCCCAGACCACCCACCGUAACUGGGAACUCGCCGAAAUUUUCCUCGCCCUCGCUUCUACCACGGUUUUUUCCUUCAUGGACGGCCCAAAGAAUGUCAUGUAGCUGCGUCUCCUGCCCGCCCAGGACAAAAAGCCCAUUUUUUGUCAUGAUUUUUUGUCAUAGAAGUAGGAGCCCACCACAUCUAUGAUGAUACCGGGUUUUGUCACAAUUAUCGUCAUAAAAGUGUCAUAAGUAUGACAGAAAAAAAUUUCAUUCGGCCCAAAAUGUCACGGAUGUGUCUUUUUUUGUAGUGCUGCCAGCCACCUUUAUGAAAAACAAAUAGCAUGUCAGCCGGUGGAACCGGUCUCAUAUACGUGGACAUGUACAAUUGGUCCAAGCCACUUCAUCUUAUAAUAACGCCGAAUUAAAAUAAGACGUUGGUGGUAAGCAAUAUGACCAUCACCACCCACAACUCUUUGUGUUCUACUCGUGCAUAUCAUUCUCACGAGCUAGCCAGCAUUUGUGUUGGGAUUAAAAGCACUUCAGAGAGAGGGAGAGUUGUGGGCUAGAACUUACAGUAGUAGCAUAGACGAAGGCGGGUAGGACGCCGGUAGCGACCAUGCUGCCGGAGGGGCGCCGGUUCGGUCGUGGGUCCACGCCUCGUGCGUGUGGCUGCACUAGGGGAGGAUGUAGGCAUGGAGACAUUGUCGCCGCUGCAGCCGGUGGUGAGCCCACUGGACCUGAACCAGGCGGCCCUAGGAUUGAAUGGUGGCGACAUUUGUGGUGGCGGCGGAUCAAAUAAAUAGGGGGAAAUGAUAGAGGGAGACGAGGAGAAUCUGUAGGUGUCCGCUGUGUCGCCGGAGAUGCCUGGACAGGGCAGAUCGAGGCAGCGGCGGCCAUGCUCUGUUCUUGGGGGGAGAGAGAGGUGGGUGUGGUUGGUUCUGUUCUUGGGAUAACAGAGAAGACGAGGAGAGGAACGAGCUGGGUUCAACGAGUAAAGUACUAGUAGUGCAGUACUAGGCUACUCUUUCCUUUUACUUAUCAUUUUUUUACUCUCUAGACUGGAUGGCAGACGUGCAUGCUACUCUAAUU